rnacentral:rRNA from 1 species
GUCGAACGCUGGCGGCGUGCCUUACACAUGCAAGUUGAGCGGUAAAGGGUUAUGCUUGCACCAAGUUGAAGAGCGGCUAACGUGUGAGUAACUCGUGGGUAGUCGGCGUUUGAGCGGGGGACAACCUGUGGAAACGAAUGCUAAUACGGCAGAAUAACUUUAAACAUAAGUUUUAAGUUUGAAAGAUGCAGUUGCAUCACUGAAAGAUGAUCCCGCGUUGUAUUAGCUAGUUGGUGAGGUAAAGGCUCACCAAGGCGAUGAUACAUAGCCGACCUGAGAGGGUGAUCGGCCACAUUGGGACUGAGACACGGCCCAGACUCCUACGGGAGGCAGCAGUAGGGAAUCUUCGGCAAUGGGCGAAAGUCUGACCGAGCCAUGCCGCGUGAGUGAAGAAGGUCUUCGGAUCGUAAACCUCUGUUGGUAGGGAAGAACGUGGGUGAGCGAGGAACGCUCAUCCAGUGAGGGUAAUGAACAAGAAAGAGACGGCUAAUUACGU